CUCGCUGGGGGGCGGGGGCGUUUCUCUCCGGUGUUUCUGCCCAUUUCCCGUGUCCUGUCUUCCUUGCUGGAAGCCCAGGGUGUUGCGGAGCAGGGGUGUCGGCAGCCCUCCCCGUGAGGAAAUCCGCUCCCUUCCCCCGCUGCUGGGCCUGGCCUGUCGGUGCAGCACCCUCGGCAGCAAUAGAACCGGAGGAGAGGGAGGUUUUGCCCGCCUGAGGCGCGGUGUGAGGCCUGUGCUGGAGCCAGGGCGUGAUAGCGCGCGCCUGCCGUUGCUGAGGGAAGACAUGUACGCACUAUGCCUUUGAGGGACACGAGUGGCCAUGAGGCCUUUGUGAAUGCAUGGAGGAAAUUUGCGAUGGGGAGAAGAACUCCCCAAAGACACCUUGAAAGUCUGGAUACAGCUGUUUUGUUGAACUAUGGCCACAGCAUCAAUGAGGUUUAUUUUUAAGAGUGAAAUGGAAAGUUGGAAGCACUGGGUCGAAACCUUUCCCAGGAACAGUGGUCACUUCCUGAAGACAUGGGAGGAGGAAUCAAAUUAAGUGCUUCUCUGAAAUUACUAAUCUUUCAGAGUUGCAUAGUCUUUUAACUACUGCAUAGAAAAUGGGUAUACACCAAUCAGUGACUUAUGAGCAUGAAUCUCUGUCGACAGUUAUCAGAACCACCCAAACCACAUAUAAAGCCUGAUUACUGCUGUGAGCAGAAGUCCACACUUUGACUUCUGUGGGUGAUAGGUAUGUACAUCAAAGAGCAUGAUCAAACCUAAGAAUGACAAACAGCAAUUAAUGCUGCAUCUUUAUUACAGUGGACCCGGUAUGAUCUUGAUUUUACAUCCGAACUAGGCUUCUGCUGUACAUGCAUUACUCUUCUGGAAAAAGAAGUCAACUCCUUCCUAUUUCUCGUCUUUCAAAGCCAGUGUUGCACAACCAAGCAUCCAGGCGUUGUAAUUCACGCUGUAGAACAUCCUACCCACUGAAAUGAAUGGGAACUCUAAUGAAACUGAGAUGUAAGGAUGGCAACAUCUACCUUAGAGUAAAAAUGGAAAUGCCAACUAUGCUGUUAAAAAAGGCCAUA
rnacentral:lncRNA from 1 species